AGUCCUUUCCCGCUCCGCGAUGAACAAAGCCGCAGUUUCACGCGGCCGCGGGAGACGGUUCUUAAAUAAUGGAACAGGACAUAAGUGCUUCCCAGAGCAACCGGGAGAUUUAUUGAUAAAUACAGAGACAUCGCCGGGCAGCCACGCUCCGACAACCCGCACUGGGCCCCCGUCCCGAGCUCAGGCCACGUCCCCACCUCCUCGAAGCCUCCAAGCUGCUGUUAAUGUCAGUUCUUUUCACCAGGCAAACGGAAGGGGCAUUCUUGCUGCUGUUAGGAAACGGUUACCACUUCUCCGUGUCUGUUUAAAAUAGGAUCUUUGCAUAAAUUGGGAUAAAUCACCUGGAGGAAUUACACGUAAACAAGGCUGUAAAUCACCAUUGCAUGCAUGGCCUGCAGAGUUGUAAAGUGCAGAUUUUCGUUAUAAAAACACUUCUAGUAUGAAUGAAAAAAAAAAAAAACCACCAACAUUUCAUAAACAUGACUCCCUGCAGCCGAUCUGGUCCCGACAUGGGGGUGGAUCCCAGAAGCGGGAGACAGCCUUCCACGGAAACUUGCAAAACUGCACCAAAAUCUAUCAAUUUUGAAAAUGCUCUUGAAUUCUUGGCGGAAGAAAGAUGCUGAUAAACACAUUAAGUGGGGAAAUGCUCCCUUGAGAAAGGCUGGGUUGGCUCUAUGAAGACACCUUUGGAGUGAGCUGUGCCUGGGAGAAACCCAUCUGUGCUUUUCCCUUCAUUCACCGGAGAUGAGGCUGAGUGUUCAAGUAAACAGGAAGCUUACCUGUGGUGGUCAAAUUACAAACACUCAACAUGGCACCCAUGAAUAAUUAGAAAAUACAAGCGCCGAAGUGACGGGGGCGGGAGCUAGGAGGGCGAGGGGAAACAGAACAAUCUUGGAAAAAUCUCGGUUGUUGCAAAAAAAGAAUAAAAUGUAUGCUUAAAAAUUAUUUUUACAGAGAAAUUACAGCCAUAAAAAAUAUCUGUGCAUUGGAAAGGCACUCAUAUUAUAGAAAAAUGUUAACAUAUAAACGGAAAUUGUAAAGGUUAGAUUAUUUACCAAAGAGUCUCUACAAUCUCUCCAAGCAUGUUGUGAUUCAGCAUGCAAAUUAUACACAUCACAACACAAACUGAAGCUCAUUUUUUUCCUUAACGGAAAAUUAAGCUCUGAAUAGAAUACAAGAUUCCAGUUGAAUAAUUCUACUUGCUGCUAGAUCAACAGAUUUUAACAAAACAAUCUCAAUUUGCGGGCAAUAAAAAAAAAUUAAAAAUUGCUGGUUACCAAAGCAAAACAAUAUCUCCAUUUACUUUAGGCAAGAAUUAAACACACGACGGAUUGACUGAUUUUUUUUUUAAUAUGUAGCUUCUGAUUUAUUAACUCACUUUUUGCCGACGCUGCCUAAAUGCUACCCUGGGGUAUAAUUUGCAAUUCUCACAUAGGUACCUUAUUAUUAUUUUGGCGUGGUGUAUAUACGCCUAUCUUUCUUUUAAAAGAAUCAGUUAAAUGGAAUUUGGAGGUGGAAGUCACAUCCUCUAUACUAGAAAAUUCAAUACAUAGCUUCAAGAAUUUCAUUUAAAAAUAAAGACAAGACAAACAAGAAAAAGACCAAAGGGCAGAAUAGAAAUAGCUUACAAGCCCUUAGCAGAGCUAGCUCUUGAACCCCAAAUGGGCUGUUUCCUCCUUCCUUCCCUUAUCCUACCUUUGAGAACAUAAAAAUAGAAACACGAAAAAUGACAUGUGCAUACAUGUAAGUAAAAUUUGUUCAAAUGGUUAGAAAAUCUUAAAUUACUGAUUUAAAAAACCUGGUUAAAUUCUAGAGCAUCUUUCUCUUAGUCUAAAUUUGAAACGCAUGAAAUCUAAGCGGUGUGUACUUAAGUCAAUUUGAAGAGUAUAUAAUUUGACCCCCAAAGUCACAGGUGCGUAGAACUUGUGGGCAGGUUAUGAUCAGAACUAGGUUUUCCUUUUUUUGGUUAAGAUUCUAAAGCAUUAGAUAUAAAGUCAAUAUCCAUGCAUCUCAGUUAUCAAUUUCCCUCCCAAGUUUAAACAUAUAGCAUAUCCAUAUAAAAAUGGAAAAACCUCAGUUAUCCAUUUCCCUCUCAAGUUCUUAAACAUAUGACAGCAUAUCCAUAUAAAAAUGAAAAAUCUUUCAGCUUUAUGCCUCUAUCAAAGGCCAACACAUAUCUUCAUGGAAACAGUUCCUGUCAGGCAGGGAGGAGUGAGUGCCUGAGGAAAAGUUCCAAGUAGUUUAUAACAAAGGCACAAUAUUAGAAAGACUGCCAUCAAUCAUUCUUUAGAUUUCUUUAUCACAUUUUUCAAAAAUAAACAAAUCGAACCAUAUUUGUAGCAACUCAAAGUGCAGCAUAGAUUUAAAUGAUGUAUUUGUUCAGCUCACUGAUAGGGGGCAAAUACUACAUUAAUAUAUUUUCUUCCUGUCAAGAGUUAUUUACAUAUGUACAGUAUUUCAGUUAAAAAUAUAACACCAUAAACUAUAUUUUAUAGGAAAUCAUAAGGGAAGGAAAUAUGCAGGUCUAUUAAAGACUUAAGAGCUUCUAAUAAACUACUUUACUUGGAGAGGGUUGGGGGGACUUCAGAUCAUACAGUCUGCCAUGGAGAAAAGAACUUGCUGGCAGACAGCCUGAUGGUUCAGAGGCUCCAGUGCCCAGUUAGCCACCUGGUCUGCAAUCUUUCCACAGACUUACUGAUCAGGCUUGAUCAGGAUGGCCCAGCCAUCCAGAAAAAGCCCCCAUCAGGUUCAGUCCCUUCGGGGUACAGAUGGAAAAGGCGUCAAUCACUGAGUGCACAGUAUGAAAGGUUCCAAAAUCUCCCCCAGCUGGUAUAAUACAAUCAGUUCCCCUUCAAGUUAUGGUAAGCCAUAUGUGCCAAGCAUGAAAUAAUCAGAUUGCAACUCAUCACGGAAGUAGUUAAUUCUGUUUUUCUAGUACAGCAGUGUCUAUGAUAUUCCGCCGCUUUGGUUCUAGGGCUGCAAAAAAGGAAACAUCUUGGUCCCGGUCUGACUGCAAUGCUAAGAUGGUCUCUUCAAUGACUUCAAGAUGAGGGUUACCAGCAUUUCUAAAAUACGCUAAAGAGAGAAACCAUGAGUCUGAAUCAGGUAAGCCAUGAACAGUGUUCAAAACACACUCGGUUUUGUUUUUUGUUAGCCACAUGUCAGGACAAUAAAUCAAAGAGUAUUUCUAAAAUGUUAAAG
rnacentral:lncRNA from 1 species